AUCUUCACGGUUACGCCCCCCCGGUCUCAAAUCCCGCUUCUGCCAGCCAGUUGCCCUAGAGGUGCAGACGAGGACUGCGCGAGUAAUUCAUGAAUAUAUGGUUUUACCGU
rnacentral:sRNA from 1 species